ACAGUGCACAGUAGAGACGUUGUUUGCCAGCUUGCGGGUGUGGGGGGACAGAGAAAUGGGAUGAAGAAGCAAUACUCAUGAAGACAAGAGGGGAGUGGAUAGGAACUGCAGAACGGGCUGAGAUGUUUCUGUGAAAAGAAAGUGUUGCAAUAAGUGGGCUGGAGAAGUUCAACCUCAGUUCAGAGAAGAGAACAUUCUGUACUCUGCACAACAGGCAGGACUGCUGUAAAACAAGAUCAACAACAUGAUCUCAGCAGCAGCACUACAAUAGAGACACUUUCAAUACUCAAACUGUCCAAAGGAUUUCUCCAUUUACAUUUAAAAAAAAAUCACACACAAGGAUAUGUGAUCAAGAUCCAAUGCAAAGAGGCAGGGGAGAGUUUAAAGUCCACAAACAUUCCACAUUGAUAAGAACUUUAAGAUAUAUUCCUGCAUAGUAACCCAUCUCAAAACAAUCUCAACACUGGACAGGGUGUCAGUAAAGCAGUCACUGUGGAUUCCCACUGCCGGAGCUGUGAACAAAAUCACUGGUGAAGAGGUGGCUGUUAGAGUAAGAGAUAGGAGGCAAAAGGUCCUGCAGUGGUCAUUCUAAAAAAAAGUGUGGAGCAGACAGUAACUGAAGUUGUCCAGUAAGGAAACAGCUUUGAGCAUGGACCUGUUGUUUGUGCAGGGCAUGAAUCCAGAGCUUACUCUUGUGGUUUAUGAUGUCAUCAGAAUCCCUCUAGGCAAUUACAGCCCAUCACUCAUCAUCAGGGCUAGUUCAGACAAUGGUGCCAAGCUUGUGUGUGAUGGGGGGGGCCCAGGUCACAGGGAUCCCCAGCCCAGCAGGUGCAGGUUGAAAGGCUUAUGUGAUGUUUAUUGUUCAUGCACCAAUGCUGUCCUGGGGAGCAUGAGCUCUUUCAUUCAGAUUAGAAGUUGUCAGGAAAUAAAUUGAGCCACUUGUGGCAUCAGGAUGUCUCCAUCUUUGUCCCCGUCAUGGCUGAGAUACAUUGCAGGUUCCCCCUUUCUCCUGUUUAACAGGAAAUCGUUACUUCCCUAACACACACUCCUGUUCUGGACACAUUAUGUCCCCUGCCCAUGGGACUGAAACCCCUAUUAAUUUGGCUUAAGAGUUUGAGGCAGGUUGGAGAGCAAAAAUCAUACAAUGAAUCAUGGGCCUCAGAGCCAAUGGGUCCAACUGAAUAACUUAACAGAUGACCCUCUGACUUAACUGAACUGGCCCUGAUCCAGUACCUGUUUGUUCUCUAUGCGUUACUUAUUGUGCUAUUUUUAUAGCUAUAGAGCUGUAAGCUGAAAACAAGCUGGAUCACCACAGGAUAAGAUAGAAAGAACAUAAGGAGCAUUGAAAGUUUGCUAUAGCAUGGUACAGAGCCCUGGAUGCAAAUUCCUGCCACUUCCAUAUGUUCAUCAUGUGCUGCACCUAACAUCACUGUCCACUUGAAAUUGUCACCCACUUUGCUCUGAUUCUCAUCCAUCUCUAUCACUUUAUGCAAAUCCACAGAAAGACUCUGAUCAUUUUUAGAUGGAAAAAAAUCCUUCCCCUUUCCUUUCCUUAUUUGCAUGGAUUAAAGUUCAUAUGCAUGUUGCCAAUGCAUUAGUAACCAAUUAUUCAUAAUUAAUCUCUGGGUGUAACCAUGUUUUUAUUUGAUCUUCAAAAGAAUGGAUUGCACAAGGUUUUUUCCUUCAUCUUUAUUUUACACUGAUAAUAUGCUGCCUCAUUUCUACAGACACUUGUAAAAUAGAGGGUUUUCUUCAUAUUUACAU